AUGAGGUGCUUGCACCUUAUCUUAGCGGCGGACGGGUGAGUAAUGCUUAGGAAUCUGCCUAUUAGUGGGGGACAACAUUCCGAAAGGGAUGCUAAUACCGCAUACGUCCUACGGGAGAAAGCAGGGGAUCUUCGGACCUUGCGCUAAUAGAUGAGCCUAAGUCGGAUUAGCUAGUUGGUGGGGUAAAGGCCUACCAAGGCGACGAUCUGUAGCGGGUCUGAGAGGAUGAUCCGCCACACUGGGACUGAGACACGGCCCAACUCCUAUGGGAGGCAGCAGUGGGGAAUAUUGGACAAUGGGGGGAACCCUGAUCCAGCCAUGCCGCGUGUGUGAAGAAGGCCUUAUGGUUGUAAAGCACUUUAAGCGAGGAGGAGGCUACUGAGACUAAUACUCUUGGAUAGUGGACGUUACUCGCAGAAUAAGCACCGGCUAACUCUGUGCCAGCAGCCGCGGUAAUACAGAGGGUGCGAGCGUUAAUCGGAUUUACUGGGCGUAAAGCGUGCGUAGGCGGCUUUUUAAGUCGGAUGUGAAAUCCCCGAGCUUAACUUGGGAAUUGCAUUCGAUACUGGGAAGCUAGAGUAUGGGAGA
rnacentral:rRNA from 1 species